UAGAUAGAAGCCAAUUUUUGGGCGCCUAGCUGUUAAUUAGGAAGUUGUAGUGUUUACAUACUACCUGUCUAG
rnacentral:tRNA from 1 species